GACGAACCGUGCGAACGUUAUUCGGAAUCACUGGGCUUAAAGCUCGUGUAGGCGGGACGGCACGUCGGUCGCUGAAAUCCCCCGGCUCAACCGGGGAACGGGCGCCGAUACGACCGGCCUGGAGGGACGUAGGGGGACCUGGAACUUCCGGUGGAGCGGUGAAAUGCGUUGAGAUCGGAAGGAACGCCCGUGGCGAAAGCGAGGUCCUGGACGUUUUCUGACGCUGAGACGCGAAAGCCAGGGUAGCGAACGGG
rnacentral:rRNA from 1 species